rnacentral:rRNA from 1 species
UACGGAGGGUGCGAGCGUUAAUCGGAAUUACUGGGCGUAAAGCGCAUGCAGGUGGUUUGUUAAGUCAGAUGUGAAAGCCCGGGGCUCAACCUCGGAGUUGCAUUUGAAACUGGCAGGCUAGAGUACUGUAGAGGGGGGUAGAAUUUCAGGUGUAGCGGUGAAAUGCGUAGAGAUCUGAAGGAAUACCGGUGGCGAAGGCGGCCCCCUGGACAGAUACUGACACUCAGAUGCGAAAGCGUGGGGAGCAAACAGG